rnacentral:misc_RNA from 2 species
CAACCCUUAAGCCUAGCUUAGUGUUGGGAGACUGCGCUAAACCGCAGCUCCUCAAAACCAGUGGCGGAGUCCUCUCGUGCUCUGAGCGUAGUAAUUUCUUAUCUCGCUUCUGUAACACGGUGGUCGACGGCCAUAAACCGCACCCUCUCGGGGGGCACUUUUUUAAU